UCAUCGGACAGCUUUUAUGAAUCACUCUCCCUAGGGCUAGGGUGAGGGUUUUUUCCCUGAAACUUGUGGAGGAUCGAGCACAGCACAACACAGAGGCAACAUUCAAAUCUUUCAACACUAUGGCUUUCAGAUCCUGUAAGUCUAUUUCACCCGUCUUUCAUUUCAUAUACGACACUCUCAUACAUCAGAGAAUCAAUCAUAAUACGCCCACAAUUGUUCCUUUUUUUGAAACCCAAUCAAUAGCAAAAACCUCAUAUUUCACAGAGAAACAACCUCUCACCAUCUCUCUCUGUGCUCUUAAUGUUGAUCUUCUCUAGAAUCUGCUAUCUCAGCUUCUGAGAAGAUCAACAUUAAGAGCACAGAGAGAGCAGACUCGGUUCUUGAGCUCCUAAGGUUGAUUGGGUUCACUGAAAAAUACAUUUCAGUCAUAAUUUCUAGAACCCCAAAUUUAAUUUUGGCUGAUCCAGAGAGAACACAGAGACCCAAAAUUGAGUAUUUUGAAUCUUUGGGUCUUGUCAGACCUGACUUACCUCUGUUCAUGUAACUAGUUGGGUAGCAGUUUAGAAAACCGUUAACCGAAUCAAACCAACAUUUGAUUUCCUUAAACAAUACAUAAGGACCAAUGAGAAUUUAAUUUAUGCUCUUAAGCAAUCUAUCCAUCUGGGGCUGUGCAAUGUUCAGAAAGUUAUGGUGCCAAAUGUCGAAACCUUGCUGGCUCAUGGUGGUCCUGAAUCCCAUAUUGGAAAACUAAUCAUGUUGCGGCCUAGAGCACUAGCGUUGAGUGUUGAUGUGUUUAAAGAGAUUACUAAUGCAGUUAAUGAAAUGGGAUUUGAUCCCAAAAGGCUAACAUACUUGUUGGCUAUCAGCAUCCUUUUUCUUUUCCCAAUUGAGUUUGCCAUUCGACAUCAAAUUAUCAAAAAAAAAAAAAAAAAACCAUGUUGGCUAUCCAUGGAAUGAUGUUGAAUGGCAAACUCAAUUGGGAAAAUAAAAAGAUGCUUAUAUGAGCGUUGGUUGGUCUGAAAGCGAAUUUAAUUCGGCAUUCAAAUUGCAACCGGGAUGUAUGCUUUGCUCAGAGAAGAAGAUCAGUGAACGGGUUUCUUAAAGAACAAGGCGACCUUAAGAGCAUCAGAGAUUGCUAAAUGCCCAAAUCUUUUUCUAUCUAGUUUGGAAAGGAAAAUCAUUCCAAGAUGUUCAGUUCUGCAAAUUCUGAUGUCAAAAGGGUUUUGAUUCAGAAGGAUGUAGAUGUGGUUUGGGUGUUAAAUGAUAGCAAAAAGAAUUUUGAGACCAGGAUUCUGACUAAGUAUAAGGAGGUAGCUCCCGAGGUAAUCAAAUCAUACAAUGGUGAUAUAGGAUUUCAAGAACUCAAUGCUAGAUUGUAGGACAAUUUGGAAUCAGAGAAGCGAGUAGCUGCUUGAUAUGCUGGCAACAACAGAGGAAAUAUGGUGUAUUUGAAUUUCUAUCAAAAUGAUUUGGCUGCAUAUAAGGUCUGCCAUCUAAGAAGUAAUCCUCUAAUCACUUCAAUGAGGUUUUUUGGUGACUGAUACAGUAUGAGAAGAGGUAAGAUUGUCUUGUAUAUUUUGAAGAUCACAUCAGUUUUCUCUGUCGACUUUGUCACAUCCUAGAAAAUUUCAUAAUUAUGUUUCUCAUCUGUAAUGUUAUGAAAUAUGCUCUAAUUUUUAAAAUUUUGAAAAUGGGCAGAUUUGCUUCAUAGUUCCAUUUGACUGUCUAUAUCUUUUAAUUAUUAGUUAUUUUCUAGGUCUGCAUAAUACUCAUGUGGUGAUUGAGAUGGUUGGUGUGUGUGUCUAUAUAGUAUUUACACUGAUUUGGUGAAUUCCCUUGUUUUACCUGUAAGAGUACUUAGUACCUGUGAAAGGCUAGUGGUCAUUUCCAUGUGUGUUUGAUUUCAUUAUGGCUAAUUAGUCCUAUGUGUCCUAAGCUGUCUAUACAUUCAUAUACUACGUAAAUAAUUUAUCUCUAGAUUUAACUUUCCAUGAUUUCAUUAUAUUCUUUCAUGUAUUAUGUAAAACCUUUUUCUCUGGAUUUAACUCCACUACAACUAAAUAUCCCCGUAGUGACAAAAUUUUAGCAGCAUUUAUUAAAAAAAACGCUGCUUUAAAAUAUUUCUGACUGUAAUUUCUAGUAAGUGCUGGACGUGACUGCCAUGCACAUUCUUUUUCUAUAUAUAUUUUCAUUUAGUUCCUCACUUUUUUUUUUUUUUUUUUUUCAUUCCUCACUUUUUCACUCCCGCGUUUCAUCAAUUUACUCCUCAGUCUCCGUCCCAAAAUCAAACUGAACCGUAGGAGUGACGAUUCUCUCACUCUAUCUGAGCUGCUCUCUGUUACAAACAUUUUCGAUCAAGAGCUUCAUUUACAUUUCAGAGAGAAAUUGAAACCAGACCAAGCUGUUGAGUUCGUUAAUUCGUCUGUUCUAAUUUAUUGGAACUAAAUCGACUUCUGUUUCGUCCAAAAUGGCAAACGAUCAUUAUAUUCAUUUUCAUCCACUCACAGGUAAAUUCUAUCAGAUUUGCUUCAUUUUUAUUGGAAUUCAGCUUUAAUUGGAGAUUGAUGUUAUUAUUGUAUGAAACCGUUUCUAAGAGUUUGGAUCUGGUUUUAGAACCCUGUUUCAAUUUUUAAUCGAUCUGGAUGUAUAAAUUCAUUCAAAGUGGUUGACAACAUGAUUAUUCUUGUAAUAUGAUUUCUCGUUCUGUAUUUUUUUCAUGAUUUUUUGCCACAAAACCAUAAUGUUAAUAUUUGAUUGUUUUUUUUUAUAUAGUUCUCAUAGUUUCUGACUAUUCAUGAUUCUGACGAAUUUGAGAAUUUUUUUAAGAUCGAGGUAUUUCAAUGAGUAGUAUCUCCAAACUAUUCAUAAUCUGAUCUUUGGUACCUUACCAAUUGAAUUAUUUUGAUUUUCAAUUAAUUUUUUGUUUUUGUUUAUUGUAGUUGUUGUUAAAUUUAGGGCUUCAUGAUAUAUGUGAAGUGAACAAGAAUCUCACCUUAUUUUUACUUUUAUGUAAGAUGACUGAACCAGAACUUGCAUUUGCUCAUAAAAUUGCUGAUUCAAUUUUUUGCACUUUUAUGAACUACAAAUUUUGAUAUAGCAGUAUGUAUAUUUCUGGCUCACAAAUGUAAUUGCUUAAAUAAUCACAAAAUGAAAUUUUCAUAAUGAAGGAUUGCAUUUGCUCAUAAAAUUGCUGGCAGAUUUCUAAAACUACCGUGUUUUAGUUAAAAAAUGACUUUGGAGAGGGGGUAAUUUACCUUUCUUCUCUCUGUCUUUUUCUUUUAUUUAUUUAUUUAUUUUCAUUGAUGAUUACUUAAGUGGACUAGUAGACGAAAGAAAACCUGUAUUUUGAGUGACGAAAGAAAAGUUUAUAAUUCCAGACUAUGCUAAAUCAUGGGUACUAAAAUCGAAUGGUAAGAAGUGGAGGAACUUUAAGUCUAACUUGAAGAAGAAGCAUUACAUGACACAUGUGACUAAUGAGGAGCGACUGGCAGGUCGUGAUGAUCGAGUCUUGCCAGAGCAGUGGUAUUACCUAGUUCAAUUUUGGAACUUAGACAAAGGACAUGUAUGUAAGGUGAACUGAAGUUUUUUAAAUUAAUGCCUUAAAAUUUUAAAUAUUUUUUAGUGUACUUGGCUUGUUUACACCAAAUUGUAUGUCCUUUUUAUGGCUGAUGGAAUGAUAGCAAAGUAAGCACUUUUUAUCAUUCCCUUUCCCUCUUUUAAUCUUUAUUUCUGUUUCAAAAUGAGAAAUCUAGGCACAAACCUUACUCUAAAAUUUUCAGUGUACAUCCAUACAUUGGAUAAGUUAAUCUCUCUCUAAGUAAUGCUUUAAUAUGUUUUUCUUAUUUUUAGGAGCGUAGCAUUACUAAUACUACCAGUCGUCCAAAGCAAAAAAAUACUCACACAGUAAGAUAAAAAAGCUUUGCACAAAUACACGAGGAGCGUAAGAAGAGGCCUAAUGGAGAGGAACCAACCCGGGCAGAUUUGUUUAUACUAACGCGCACAUGAAAAAAUGGACGACCAAUGUAUGAAGCAUCUGCACAAAUUAUUAAACUUCACAACGCGGUGCUGCUAGAGAUGACAUCUUUUCCCAAGUAGUUGGUGAAGAUAGACAUGGCUUGGUUCGCACUUAUGGUUUGGGUCCCUCCCCAUCAGAUCUUUGGGGCACGACACCUGGUCGUGUGAAGUCAAUGAGGAUGGCUUCAGAGGCUAGAAGGGCUUGUGUAGAGUGCGCGAUUUGACGGAAGAAAUGCAAAAAAUGAAGCAACUGAGAUAAUUGGAUUGCAUGGCUGGUGGAUGGUAGAGAUAACCGAAACCAACCCGGUUCUCUUCGAAAUAGCAUACCUUAUGCUUCUUGGAUAAACAUCAGUCUUGACCUUGACAUCUUCACCAAAUUCUCAAGGCCUGUCUUCAUCAAUCCUUCCAAUCCCAACACCGACGACUGUGGCACCACGUUCACCGGCAACUGUAUUCUUGACUCUUGUCUCCGUCGAAGAUUCAGCUCAAUCUUGGCCCCAAGACUACUAUUAGUAGACGCAGCCUGAUUAAGUUCACUGAUUUCCUCAUUUUCGCUUUUGAUGGUGUCUGAACUUCUGCUGGCAUGCAUGGUUCUUUGUAUUCAAAGAAUGACUGUAUUGUGUGAGCUUUGUCAAACCAAGCCUGGUUUCAUUUAUUAAUUUUAAUCGCAUGAUUUUAUUAAGAAAGAUGAUAAAAACACUACACUCUUACUGUAAAAAGACAUUAUUGACCUUGAUUUAAUUCAAGAGAAUCAAAUAUAGGGGGUAUUUAUGUUAAAAAAAAAAAAAAAAUACAAGAAAAUAGUGCAUUUAUAAAAAGAGAGGAGUGUAUUGGAUAAUGCUUCACCAAUUUUUGACUCGCUCAUUUAUUGUACAUGUUUUGUAUUCGUGUCAUCAAUUAUAUUGCUACAACUAGAAAUGUAAGCAUCAAAUAAACAGUAGAGAGAUGUAAUAUUAAGGGAGUAGGCAUUCUGUACUGUGAUAUAUUCUCUUCUUAAUUCAUUAUAUAUAUAAAUAUAAAUUUAUAGUGAA